rfam:Lupinus angustifolius cultivar Tanjil contig_13125, whole genome shotgun sequence.
ACGACCUUACUUGAACAGGAUCUGUUCUAUAGGCUCGUACCAUUGUGUCCCUGAGUUCUAAGGAGACAAGAACCUAAGCCUGGUUGAUGAACCAUGACCGUGUGAUCAGAGCGUGAUUAAUGGCUCAUUGAACUCUCAACCGAGGGUUUCAACUUGGGCAAUGGAGGAUCGUUCUCGACCACCUAUGUGGUUGGGAUGGUCACACGGUUGUCUGACAGACC